GACGAACGCUGGCGGCGUGCUUAACACAUGCAAGUCGAACGAUGAACCUCGAAAUGAUUUCUUCGGAAAGAUUUUUGAGAGGAUUAGUGGCGAACGGGUGAGUAACGCGUGAGCAACCUGCCUUAGACAAGGGGAUAGCCUCGGGAAACCGUGAUUAAUACCCUAUGAGACUCCACUUACGAGUGUAAGAGAAGUUAAAGCUAUUGCGGUCUAAGAUGGGCUCGCGUCUGAUUAGCUAGUUGGUGAGAUAAAAGCCCACCAAGGCGACGAUCAGUAACCGGCUGGAGAGAGUGAACGGUCACAUUGGAACUGAGACACGGUCCAAACUCCUACGGGAGGCAGCAGUGGGGAAUAUUGCACAAUGGGGGCAACCCUGAUGCAGCGACGCCGCGUGAGCGAUGAAGGAAUUCGUUUCGUAAAGCUCUGUCCUUGGAGAAGAUAAUGACGGUAACCAAGGAGGAAGCACCGGCUAAAUACGUG
rnacentral:rRNA from 1 species